GAUGAAGAACGCAGCAAAAUGCGAUAAGUAAUGUGAAUUGCAGAAUUCAGUGAAUCAUCGAAUCUUUGAACGCACAUUGCGCCCGCCAGUAUUCUGGCGGGCAUGCCUGUUCGAGCGUCAUUUCAACCCUCAAGCCCCCGGGUUUGGUGUUGGGGAUCGGGCUGUACUCCAGCCCGGCCCCGAAAUCUAGUGGCGGUCUCGCUGCAGCCUCCAUUGCGUAGUAGCUAACACCUCGCAACUGGAACGCGGCGCGGCCAAGCCGUUAAACCCCCAACUUCUGAAUGUUGACCUCGGAUCAGGUAGGAAUACCCGCUGAACUUAAGCAUAUCAAAAGCGGAGGA
rnacentral:misc_RNA from 1 species